UACAGGGGGUGCAAACGUUGCUCGGAAUCAUUGGGCGUAAAGCGCACGUAGGCGGUUCGUUAUGUCGGAUGUGAAAGCCCUUGGCUUAACCGAGGAAGUGCAUCCGAAACUGGCGAGCUAGAGUACGAAAGAGGAUCGCGGAAUUCCCGGUGUAGAGGUGAAAUUCGUAGAUAUCGGGAGGAACACCGGUGGCGAAGGCGGCGAUCUGGGUCGAUACUGACGCUGAGGAGCGAAGGCGUGGGGAGCGAACAGG
rnacentral:rRNA from 1 species